rnacentral:rRNA from 1 species
UACGUAGGGUGCAAGCGUUAUCCGGAAUUAUUGGGCGUAAAGAGCUCGUAGGCGGUGUGUCGCGUCGGCCGUGAAAACCUGGGGCUCAACUCUGGGCGUGCGGUCGAUACGGGCAUCACUUGAGUUCGGCAGGGGAGACUGGAAUUCCUGGUGUAGCGGUGAAAUGCGCAGAUAUCAGGAGGAACACCGAUGGCGAAGGCAGGUCUCUGGGCCGAUACUGACGUGAGGAGCGAAAGCGUGGGGAGCGAACAGGAUUAGAU